rnacentral:lncRNA from 1 species
GUAUAGGGGACUUUUGGGAUAGCAUUUGAAAUGUAAAUGAAGAAAAUAUCUAAUAAUUUUUUAAAAAUGUAAAUAAUGAUGAAAUAAGGUACCUAUCCUUAAGGACCCAGAAAUAUCAUAUGAUUUAACCAUUAUAAAAUACUAAACUACUUUCCAUAGUGUUGGGCCUUGUAACAUAAUAAAUUUGGUAUAUACAUGUGUUUAAAUGUGCUGUGUGUGCACAUAUGUAUGUUGUUUGUGCAUGCACAUGAGUAUAUUGUUUUUGUGUGUAUGUGUGCACACGUGCAUGUAUUUGUGGAGAUAAGAGUAGGUUAACUGGCCUCCUGCUCAUACUGUCUAGCUAUUCUUUUGAGACAGAGUAUUUAACUGAACCUUUAGCUUGGUUAGCAACCAGCCUUUGCAAUCCUUCUGUCACUGCUCUUAUAGGUACAUAUGGGUACAUCCAGCUCUGAAGGUUUGUUUAGAGUAUUCAACUCUUAAGCAGUUCAUCAUCUCCUCUGUCCUAUUACAUAGUAUUUUUAUACUUAUAUGCUCCACUGAAUAUGCAUUUAGUGAUCUUUUAAGUCUCCCCUCACAUUGGUGAGGACUCAUUGUAGGUAACCCUGGCUUUUAUAAGUGUGUGUUUGGACAAGUAUUUCAUGUACUUUGAGUGUGUUCCUGCUCACACUCAGUACUCAACACUUCCUAACCCUUCCUUCUCAUCAGGCCCCUCUGUUCCCCAGACUGGUUUGCUUCUACUUUCAUAUUACAUGUACCUACAUGAUUUUACAUGUCUAUAUAAAAUCCAGAACAUCUGAAUGAAAGAAAAAUAUAUUUGUUUUCCUCAGAUGAACUAAAUAUGGUCAUCUCCACUUGUAUCUGUUAUCCUGUAGACAGUGUUCUUUAUUGUACUUUAUAGCUAAAAAAAUAAAAAUCAAUUGUGCACAUCUAGCACUCCUUUUCUAUCCUUUGCUGGUGGGCAACCAUUUGGUUCUAUAACUUAGCUAUUUUGAAUGGCACUAAUAUACAUACUCAUGUGUGGGUAUCUCUGUAACAUGUUUUGAGUCCUGUGGCCUGUGGAUCUAAAGCAGGAACCCAUGAUGAUCCCUCCAGGACACAUGCCUGUGUGCCAGAAACACAUGAAAAACCCAGGAGAUUUGGAGAUGUCUAGAUGACCACCUACACUCCCUUGCUUCACAUUUCCAGCCUGUCUGAUUCAGUUUUUAUCUUUUACUUCCAUGCAAAUCUAACCAUGUCAAGAUUGGAAUGUGUGCAGGGACUCGUAACCUGGACAUAAUCUUCCCUUCACAUACUCAUCUUUCUUCCACGUAUGCAUCUUUCUAGUAUGCUAAAGUCUUUGUUCCUUUAUUAAUCAUUCUGCACAUAGUUGCAUCAUCAUCUCCUUAACAAUUCUAAAGAGCUAGGAUUUGCAUGCUCUUGUUCAGCUUGAUCUCAUUAAGUGUUGCAACAUGGUUUUAUGAUCAUUUGUGAAUUGGAAGUCUGGAACAUUUCUAGACAGGAAACUUAGCCAUGCAUGUUGAUAUUCUAAAAAUAUAUUCUUGGCACAUAAGAGCCCCUCAAAGCAUAUUUAUUUAAUGAAUUCACAUGAGAAAAGGUUUCGCAAUGUAAACAAAAAAGGAAACCCAAAACAACUACAACAACAGCAAACCAAGCGAAAAUAAAAACAAAAACCAAACAAGCAAAAACCAAAUAAACAACAAUAAUGAAAAAAAAAAAGCCAAGGUAUAACUUUCAAUUAAAUUCCUCUUUCUGGUGUUUCUGGGGAGUAAGAAGGAGUUUUGAGGAUAAGUGUACAUCAUUGGCUAGAUUUAAGUACUGAAAAUACCUCAUUUGUAUGGAGAGGAAUCAUGGGUACUUGCUUAGCAAGUUCUUAUCAGGAAAAGGGGAAGUUGAACUUGUAAGUUUGUCAAGGACUGCACAGCCUUCUUCGGGUAGAGGGUGUGGGAGUCAGGUUUCCCUAAUAAGGUGAGAAGGGGAAGCCCUGGUAGAAAGUGAAGUCCUCCAUUUUGUACCCAGCUCAGACAUGAUAGAAUGUGACCUUAAAUAGGAGGGUUUCCCAACAGUCAAAUUCUGGAAGGCUCCCUGAUGUUUAUGAGCCCACUUGAGUCCCAGUGAGUUCAUUCUGUGAGCUGUGUUCUAAUGGUGUCCUUGAUUUCUCUGGAGCCUCCAAUGCUUCCAUCUCCUCCUCCACAGGUCCUCCUGAGCUCUGAUUGAUAUUUGGAUAUGAGACUCAGCAUUUGAUCCCAUCUAUUGCUGAAUGAAAUCCCUUUGAUGACAAUUUUGCUUGGCUCUGGUCUGACAACAUCAUGCAAGCAUAACAGGCUAAAGGUUGGAGGUUUAAUGGCUGGGUCCUUCAUUUCCUAUGUCUUACACCACCGCCAAACACCACUAGAGACUAGGACCAACACGAAAUUUUAAACAUGACUUUUUAGGAACAUUCUCCCAUUUGUAACAGUAUAUAAAAUAUUGCCUAUCUUUAGGGGAUAUUGAUAUCUCAUACAGUGCCUCACAAGUGUCUUCUGAGGAGCUGGGAGUAUUCUAUAACUUAAUGCUGUUGAUGUAUGGAUGUAAACACAGGCAUGGCACUAGAAACAAAGACAUGUACAGAGAUAGAGAUAGAAGGAUGAUAAAUAGAUAGAUGAUAAAUAGAUGGAUGAUUCAUGAUAAGUAGGUAGGUGACACUUAGCUAUAUAAAUGAUAGACACCGAGAGAGAAAUAAAGAGGAGCUAAGUUUUUAGUGUCUCAAUAUCACUUUUGCAAGCAUAGCUUCAGUAGACUAAAAGUCUUCCAGCAGACCUACUUGCCAAAAAUCCUCCUCUUCCAUCAACCCUCUAGAGAACAGUUCUUUGACACAUGGACAAUUGGAGAAUAUCACCUACAUCUGAACUCAUAGCAAACUCCCAACUCUUUAUGACCUUAUAAAUCAUAAGAGAGAGACUUUUGUAAAUCACAUAAAAACAGUUUGACAGAUAAUAAGUUGUCAAUGAUGUUAGCUUUUUAAAUUAGGGUUAUUCUUCAUGACUGACCUUUACUUAUUCUAAUCCAAGAAGAAGUAAAUGCUGCAGUUUAUGAAUUUCCCAUUAUUCUCAAUUGUCACUGAGAGUUUUUGCAUAAAAAGGAUGAAUAAGGGUAUCUUUGUCUGUCCCACAAUGUUCAAAGGUCUGACUAUUCACUCUAAAUGAGAACUGAUUGAAACUCAAACACUUCUGGCUAAGGAGGCCAGCACCUUUCUCCCCACUGAUGCUCCAAAUCCCCAUAAUGAGGACCCAGUCUCAGAGGAAAGAGAACAAAUGUCAAAGUGACAGGGCAAGUAUGACCUUGAAAGGCAAAGAAACCAGACUCAAAAGCUCUCAAAGAGGAAAAAUGGCCCUUCCCUUUGCUAUGGAAAUUCGAGUCCCUAAAAAACUGAGCUCCUAAGUUCUACUCUCAAAUCCUCAAAAAGUGUAACUCAGUAUCAGCUAACCCACGGGGCAUUAGACACAUAGAGUUCUCAUUUCUUUUAUGUUUUUUUAAAGUGUCACUGAAAGAUUUUUAAACCUUAUUUAACUUCUUUAAAAAAAAAAAAAAAACUUUUCAUUGAUUCUUUGUGAAUUUCGUAUCAUGCAUCCCAGUCCCCCGCAUCUCCCAUCCCUUCAUAAUCUGCCCUCCACUCUUCCAACCUUCCC